CUAAAAGGGUAUAGACAAUCCAAUCAAAUACGAAUUGAUAGAUCAUGCAUUCUUCUAUGUCUAUGCGAAAUUUGAGCUUGAACGAAAAAUUUUGUACCAGAGAAAUCAGCACGGUGGAGAUGAACACGACUGUGGAUUCGCAAUGUCAUGGACCGGGAAACACGCACAUUCUUUUUUUUUGUCUCAUCAUUUUAUCCCAGGCAGAUGGCAGCCAUGAGCCCAUCAUGACCUGAUCGAGAGCUAAAGCUUGCGGCUUUGCAUCGUCAAUGGAUUCUGAAGAAUGCAGGGGCCAAUCUGCCCAGCGGUUUGUGUUUGUUCCAGCGAAGAACCAACCACCUUCUGGCAGCUACCUAAAAAUUUACUAAUAUAUAUGUCAAUUCAGUCGGUCGGUCGAGCAUGAAUGAGAUCAUCAAAUUGGCAAAUUGCGAUGCACGACCAAGCAAGCCUUCAUCUCGCCCCCCAAAAAUAGUGUUAACCUCGCAAUCGCUAGCUGCCAUUGGUAAAGAUUAGCGACCUUCAUGCAUUGGAGCAGAGCGGCAGCCGGCAGGUGAGGUCAGAGCGCAUAAGACCGGCACGUAGGCCGCCGCGCGCGCGGGGCCGGGAAUGGACGCGCUGCACCUGCACGUAGCCGUGGCCGGGCGCGCGGUGGCCGUGGUCGAGCGCGAUGGCACGCACGACCCGACCACCGGCCGCGUGCUCACCGGGUCCUGGCUCUGGGACUCCUCCCUCGUCCUCGCCUCCCACCUCGCCGCCGACGCCUCCGCUCGGCUCCACCUCCGCAGCGCCACCGUCCUCGAGCUCGGCGCCCGCGGCACGGGCCUCCCGGGCACGCGGCCGUCGCCUGCCUCGGCGCCGCAUGCUGCGUGCUCACGGACGUGCGGCCGCUGCUGCCGAGCUGAGCCUCAGAGCCAACGCCGAGGCCAACGGGCUCGCCGCCGCGCAGGCCGACGUGCGCGAGCUCCGGUAGGGCGACCGGCUAGAGGACCAGCUGCGGGUGGACGUGGUGCUCAUGUCGGACGUGUUCUACGACCCGGACAUGCCGGCGAUGGCGGCCACGCUGCGGGGCUUGUGGAGGGACGGUGCCGGCGGCGGCGGCACGGUCGGGUGGGCGGCGAGCGAGGUGCGGGACAGCAUGAUGGACUGCAUGGACGUGCUGCGGGAACAGGGCUUCGAGGUAGACGAGGUCGACAGGGUCACCAGGCCGCUGCUGCACGACCCCGAUCAGACCGCCGCCUUCGCCGUCUAUCGCGUCUCACUCCGACAACAAGAGGAGGGAGUUGACUUUGAUUAUUCCCCAAGCUGCUAAAAUGUCCCACUUCACCUUUAAAACUGACAUCUGUGCAGAAGUCAUUUUCACCCGAAUUGGUAACUCAGUCCGGGUUGAAUUGAGUGCAACAAUUGUAUUGUACUGUACAGGACACCUUGCUAAGUCUUUUUUUUUUUGACAAGUUUUAAUUCCUUUUUGC